AACGAACGCUGGCGGCAUGCCUAACACAUGCAAGUCGAACGAGACCUUCGGGUCUAGUGGCGCACGGGUGCGUAACGCGUGGGAACCUGCCCUUAGGUUCGGAAUAACUCCCCGAAAGGGGUGCUAAUACCGGAUAAUGUCUUCGGACCAAAGAUUUAUCGCCUUUGGUUGGGCCCGCGUUGGAUUAGCUAGUUGGUAGGGUAAAAGCCUACCAAGGCGACGAUCCUUAGCUGGUCUGAGAGGAUGACAAGCCACACUGGCACUGAGGCACGGCCCAGACUCCUACGGGAGGCAGCAGUGGGGAAUAUUGGACGAUGGGCGAAGGCGUGAUCCAGCAAUGCGGCGUGAGUGAUGAAGGCCGUAGGGUUGUAAAGCUCUUUUACCCGGGAUGAUAAUGACAGUACCGGGAGAAUAAGCUCCGGCUAACUACGUG
rnacentral:rRNA from 1 species